GACGAACGCUGGCGGCGUGCUUAACACAUGCAAGUCGAACGGUAGGCCCUUCGGGGUACACGAGUGGCGAACGGGUGAGUAACACGUGGGUGAUCUGCCCUGCACUUCGGGAUAAGCCUGGGAAACUGGGUCUAAUACCGGAUAGGACUCCGGACUGCAUGGUCUGGGGUGGAAAGCUUUUGCGGUGUGGGAUGGGCCCGCGGCCUAUCAGCUUGUUGGUGGGGUGAUGGCCUACCAAGGCGACGACGGGUAGCCGGCCUGAGAGGGUGACCGGCCACACUGGGACUGAGAUACGGCCCAGACUCCUACGGGAGGCAGCAGUGGGGAAUAUUGCACAAUGGGCGCAAGCCUGAUGCAGCGACGCCGCGUGAGGGAUGACGGCCUUCGGGUUGUAAACCUCUUUCAGCAUCGACGAAGCGAAAGUGACGGUAGGUGCAGAAGAAGGACCGGCCAACUACGUGCCAGCCGCCGCAGUAA
rnacentral:rRNA from 1 species